rnacentral:lncRNA from 1 species
UUCGUCGAAAAGAGUAGAAAAGCUCGAGGAUCAAUUUGACUCAAUCAAUUAUAGGCAGGACUAAUAGGCCAAGUCGAGCUUGGCCCUUAUGGUCAACAAGCCAAAGCACGGAUGACUAGUCUAUGAGCUAGCUCGGAUUGAAUUAUUGUCACCCCUAAUAGUAGCCCCAGAAAAUGAAGUAACCAGAAAGUGAUUAGAUGAUAUUUUUCACAAUUUGUUUUAUCACGUUUAUCAUGCAUUCGAAUAGAGGUACACAUCACAAUCCAACUAGCAGAAUGGAAGGAAUAAUAACACUGGCUACAAGUCAAAUAUCAACUUACCACACCAACUCUUAAUUGCUAAAAUCUUUAACCCCUCCCAUUUUAUUUGUUACUUACCAAAAUUAAAAUCCAUUUCUUCUUUGAUUUUCACUACUCAAUUUCUCGAGCAUGCAACAUGUUUAAAUAGCGUUUGUUCUAUUAGUUUUUAAUGCUCUUCAUUGUGAAAAUAAUAAUAAUAAUAAUAAUAAUAAUAAUAAUAAUAAUAAUAAUAAUAAUAAUAAUAAUAAUAAUAAUAAUAAUAAUAAUAAUAAUGACACGUUUUGAAAAAAUAUCUUCGAUAAUAGCGUUCAAGUCUAAGCCUAUGCAUAGGCAAUUAAUAGUAUUCAAUCCCAUCCUAUCUAAAGACGCAGAACUAUCUCAAUCAGAUAACUUUAUCUAAAAGUACAUGAUACUGUUCAAUCUUAUCUGAAGACUGCACAGCAAAUUCAAUUGGAACAAGAUCUAUCAAAGUCCACCAAUUUAACAACGCUAAACAAGACUCGAAAAAUCUAUUAAUCUCAUUAAAUACUAUAUGUGAAAAGAGUUAGAUUGGGCAUAGUUUUAGAACGACCAGCAAUUUCUUACGUUAAGUCGGCCUAUUCACGGGACAUCAAGGCCCGACUUGCUACGUGACCCGUGCCAAGUCCA